AGUGAACGCUGGCGGUAGGCCUAACACAUGCAAGUCGAACGGCAGCACAGUAAGAGCUUGCUCUUACGGGUGGCGAGUGGCGGACGGGUGAGGAAUACAUCGGAAUCUACUUUUUCGUGGGGGAUAACGUAGGGAAACUUACGCUAAUACCGCAUACGACCUACGGGUGAAAGCAGGGGAUCUUCGGACCUUGCGCGAUUGAAUGAGCCGAUGUCGGAUUAGCUAGUUGGCGGGGUAAAGGCCCACCAAGGCGACGAUCCGUAGCUGGUCUGAGAGGAUGAUCAGCCACACUGGAACUGAGACACGGUCCAGACUCCUACGGGAGGCAGCAGUGGGAAAUAUUGGACAAUGGGCGCAAGCCUGACCCAGCCAUACCGCGUGGGUGAAGAAGGCCUUCGGGUUGUAAAGCCCUGUUGUUGGGAAAGAAAAGCAGCAGGUUAAUACCCCGCUGUUCUGACGGUACCCAAAGAAUAAGCACCGGCUAACUUCGUG
rnacentral:rRNA from 1 species